rnacentral:rRNA from 1 species
GGAGACUCCUACGGGAGGCAGCAGUGGGGAAUCUUCCGCAAUGGACGAAAGUCUGACGGAGCAACGCCGCGUGAGUGAUGACGGCCUUCGGGUUGUAAAGCUCUGUUAAUCGGGACGAAAGGUCUUCUUGCGAAUAGUUAGAAGAAUUGACGGUACCGGAAUAGAGAGCCACGGCUAACUACGUGCCAGCAGCCGCGGUAAUACGUAGGUGGCAAGCGUUGUCCGGAAUUAUUGGGCGUAAAGCGCGCGCAGGCGGAUCAGUUAGUCUGUCUUAAAAGUUCGGGGCUUAACCCCGGUAUGGGAUGGAAACUGCUGAUCUAGAGUAUCGGCGAGGAAAGUGUAAUUCCUAGUGUAGCGGUGAAAUGCGUAGAUAUUAGGAAGAACACCAGUGGCGAAGGCGACUUUCUGGACGAAAACUGACGCUGAGGCGCGAAAGCCAGGGGAGCGAACGGGAUUAGAUACCCUAGUAGUCCAGAGAA